UAAUUAACGGGGGUGUAUUCGAUUGGGAUUUUAAUGCAUUGUUUUUAGUCUAUGGAUUUUAAUGGAUUGUAUGGGAUUUUGAUUUUGUGCGGAUUCUUGAUGAAAUGUCGUAGAAUUGAUAGGAUUUAGGUACAAUGCUUCAAAAUCCCAUUGAAUUUGAUGGGAUUUCAAAAAACUUAAAAUACACUGAAGAAUGCCACAAAAUCCAUCAUUUUAUGAAAUGAAAAAAAAUCCAUCAGCAUUUGAAUACCAUCAGAUUUUAAUGGAUUUUAAACAAUCCCAAUUGAAUACCAUCGGAUUUUAAAGCAUAAUUUAAAAUCCCAAUUGAAUACCACCAGAUUUUGUGGCAUAAUUUAAAAUCCCAAUUGAAUACCUCAAGAUUUUAAUGGAUUUCAAACAAUCCCAAUCGAAUACCCUCGAAUUUCAUGAAUGCAAAAAAAUCCUUUAAAAUCCCAAUCCAAUACACCCCUCUAAAUCCUAAAUUAUAGCAAUCAUGUUAGUGGCACGCGGGUAAAGAAAAUUCGAAUUUUUGUUUGCUCUCCUCACACCGUAGAACCGUGAUCUGCUUUUCCCACCGCAUCAUUUUCCUUCUUCUCCGACCUGCGUUGUCGACGGACCCGACCCGGUAGUUAACCUCCUACAGAUAUGGCAGCGUUCUUUUUUCUCCUCUCUUUUCCAAACGUGCUUACUUCUCGGAUUAAACUACUCUCAUCACACCAUCAUUCUGUUUAGACACCGAUCCAUUGUCGAAGAUACUAAGCGCCAGAUUACCAAAUCCCGGUUCUGGUGAUCAUAUCUGUUUUACAAGCACACAACUUAAACACAAUAAUCAUCUUUGACAUAUCCUGAUAUUCAAGUUUUUGCACAACCUUGAAACUGGGAAAAAGAGAAGAUAUAAUAAAUUUGUGACAUUCUAAAAAACGAUGAAGGGGAUUGGGUCAUGGACGUGUGUUGAUGCUAAGGAUGCCGAAAAACAAGUCAGCAUAAAAAACGAUGAAGGGGAUCAGGUUUGACCGGGAACUCAAUGUUUUCAUUAAUAAAACUUUAUGUUCGGAAUCCUCUUCAGACUCCCAGUACGAAACCAAGUUCACUUAUUAUUUUGCUAUAGUGGGCACUUCUACUGUAUGCGCGCGACAGCUCUCGACAAUCUUUUGGGAUUGAGAUCUUUUAAAUUAUCAGAUAUAGGAUGGGAAGAUCUUUCAAAGUAUAAGUAUACACAUUAUCAAACUCAAACUAUCCACGCAUCUUGGAAAGUUUAGCAUUAACAAGAAGAAAAGGUGAGCGACGCUAUAUUAGUGUUAUUGUGCCAGAGCACAACCAGGUGGAUCAUUGUGUCUUGACAUAUAAGGCAGUGCUGGCAUGUGAAAGUUUGAUUCCUAACUUUCAAAAUUAAUUUCUACUUAUUAUAGU